UACGAGAGGCCCAAACGUUAUUCGGAUUUACUGGGCUUAAAGAGUUCGUAGGCGGCUUGGAAAGUGGGGUGUGAAAGCCCUCGGCUUAACCGAGGAAUUGCGCUCCAAACUACCGAGCUUGAGGAAGCUAGAGGUGAGCAGAACUGAUGGUGGAGCGGUGAAAUGCGUUGAUAUCAUCAGGAAUACCGGAGGCGAAGGCGGCUCACUGGGACUUUUCUGACGCUGAGGAACGAAAGCUAGGGGAGCAAACGGG
rnacentral:rRNA from 1 species